AAUAGGUAUCGGCCUAUGUAGGCUGUUGGAGAAUCUGAGGACAAUCUCAGACACUAAUGCUAGCAUUCUGCCCCCAGAGAGCCCUGAGAAAGGAAAUUCCCAGCCUUUUGUCUCUGGUAUUUCAUGGCCUGGUGAGCAAUAAAUGGGUCCACUGUCAAGUCUAGUUUAUGACCUCUACCACAUCAGCUGUUUUUGAGCUCCUCUGUGCCAGGCUUUUUAGUGGUUGGAAAUUUAAGUAUCUUCACUCCCUUUUUUUCCUUCAUCCAAUAUAUUGUGCAGAGGCUUCAAAGCUGGGUGGACAAGCCACUAGGUUUCCUCUCAAACUGUACAAGGGCACAAAGCCUAUGAAUCCAUGAAUCUAUCCCUUAAUCUGUCUCUGUGAUGCUACAUACAUGAAGAUGAAGCAGUAGGCAAUGGGAUAUGGACAAGAUUAAGAUGAAGGAGGCUCAAGGGAGGAAUAGGAUAUCUUGUUUUCACCAUACCCAAUUCUUCACUGCAAAACUUUAAAGAAAACAACAAUGCUUUUUCCUACUGCCUUAGAAGACUAUGGACAAAUUUAUCUAAUUAAUCAUAUGCCAUCUCCACAAAUUACAAUCAGCUCAACAUAGAAUGAUACCAUCACUUGAUCAGCAAUGCAGGCUCCUCAAACCAAUAGCUAGGUAAACCGAGCCACAGAGAGAGUGGGUGACAUACCCAAGAGCACACAGCUGUCUAGCCAAUUGUGAAGAUGAAAAUGGAACACAAGCCUCCUGACUCUCGGCCCAUUGCCCUAUCCAGUGGGCUACACUGCCU